UACGAAGGGGGCUAGCGUUGCUCGGAAUGACUGGGCGUAAAGGGCGCGUAGGCGGAUUGUACAGUCAGGCGUGAAAUUCCCGGGCUCAACCUGGGGGCUGCGCUUGAGACGUGCGAUCUUGAGUGGGGAAGAGGGUCGUGGAAUUCCCAGUGUAGAGGUGAAAUUCGUAGAUAUUGGGAAGAACACCGGUGGCGAAGGCGGCGACCUGGUCCUUGACUGACGCUGAGGCGCGAAAGCUAGGGGAGCAAACAGG
rnacentral:rRNA from 1 species